rnacentral:tRNA from 1 species
GGCCGGUUAGCUCAGUUGGUUGAGCAUGGUGCUGAUAACACCGAGGUCACGGGUUCGAUUCCCGUUCUGUCCC